GCAGGCACAUUCCAGCCAAUCAGCAGCAGACCCUCCCUCCCUGACCCUCUCACCUCCUGGACGGCUCAAUAAGAAUGCAGCUUCACAAUGGAUGCUGUCCAGGAGGUGGGAGGGUCUGGGAGGGAGGGUCUACUGCUGAUUGGCUGGAAUGUGUCUG
rnacentral:miRNA from 1 species